AUUGCUUUUCGGCCUUUUGGCUAAGAUCAAGUGUGGUAUCUGUUCUUUUCAGUUUUACCUGCUAGUCCAGAUACGCCGGUGUUGGACUGGUGGGGAUGGGUGCUGCAUGGAGGGGACAGGUGUACCAGGGCAUCCUGGGGCUGGUUCUGAGGAAUCAGCUUCACGGCUGCCCCGAUGUGACCUGUU